CGCUACCCAAGAAGGUUUGACCUGAGCAGCUGAGUGUGUGGGGCCAGACGAGCCUAAGCCCCCUUUUCGAGGGUUUUCGGCCGACAGGGGAGGGAACUGAGAAGUGUCCUUCAGAUUUGACUCAAUCGGAGGAGGGAGAGUCAGAUUUGUGCGGGAGGGGGGUCAUGAGGUCCAAGAGAGGGACCUUUGGGCGAGGAGGCGGAGGGUUUCGACGGGGAUUUUGGUAGGG
rnacentral:lncRNA from 1 species